AGAGCCGCCCGGUGGUCGUGUCCGGGCGAUGGCUCUUCGCCUGGUCGCCGACUUCGACCUCGGGAAGGACGUGCUCCCGUGGUUGCGGGCGCAGCGGGCAGUGUCGGAGGCCAGCGGGGCCGGAAGCGGCGGCGCAGAUGUUUUAGAAAACGAUUAUGAGAGCUUACAUGUAUUAAAUGUUGAAAGAAAUGGAAAUAUUAUUUAUACCUAUAAGGAUGAUAAGGGAAAUGUCGUCUUUGGAUUAUAUGAUUGUCAAACCAGACAAAAUGAGCUUCUAUAUACCUUUGAGAAAGACUUGCAAGUUUUCAGUUGCUCUGUCAACAGUGAAAGGACUUUGCUUGCUGCAAGUUUAGUUCAGUCUACUAAAGAAGGAAAAAGGAACGAACUUCAACCAGGAUCAAAGUGCUUGACUUUGUUGGUUGAAAUCCACCCUGUUAACAAUGUGAAGGUUCUAAAGGCUGUGGAUAGCUAUAUUUGGGUUCAGUUUCUCUACCCACAUAUUGAAAGUCAUCCUCUUCCAGAGAACCAUCUGUUACUGAUUUCAGAAGAGAAAUAUAUUGAACAAUUUCGUAUCCAUGUCGCCCAAGAAGAUGGAAAUAGAGUGGUGAUUAAAAAUUCUGGCCAUCUCCCAAGAGACAGAAUAGCUGAGGAUUUCGUUUGGGCUCAGUGGGAUAUGUCAGAACAGAGAUUAUAUUACAUUGACCUGAAGAAAUCAAGGAGUAUCUUAAAAUGUAUCCAGUUUUAUGCUGAUGAGAGCUAUAACUUAAUGUUUGAAGUACCCUUGGACAUAUCAUUAAGCAACUCAGGAUUUAAACUUGUCAACUUUGGAUGUGAUUAUCAUCAAUACCGAGAUAAAUUUUCCAAACACCUGACUCUGUGUGUUUUUACCAACCAUACAGGAAGUUUGUGUGUAUGUUACAGCCCGAAGUGUGCCUCUUGGGGACAAAUCACAUAUUCAGUGUUUUACAUUCAUAAAGGACACAGCAAGACCUUCACCACUUCUCUUGAGAAUGUUGGGUCACACAUGACAAAGGGCAUUACUUUUCUCAACCUUGACUAUUAUGUGGCUGUUUACUUACCUGGUCAUUUCUUCCACCUACUUAAUGUUCAACAUCCAGACCUGAUCUGCCACAAUCUCUUUCUGACAGGAAAUAAUGAAAUGAUUGAUAUGCUACCUCAUUGCCCUUUACAGUCAUUGUCAGGGUCCCUGGUAUUGGAUUGUUGUUCUGGAAAGCUCUAUAGAGCACUGCUCAGCCAGUCGUCUUUAUUACAGCUUCUGCAGAACACUUGCUUAGACUGUGAGAAGAUGGCUGCGUUGCACUGCGCGCUCUACUGCGGUCAAGGUGCGCAGUUCCUGGAAGCCCAGAUUAUUCAGUGGAUUUCUGAGAAUGUCUCUGCCUGCCAUUCAUUUGACCUCAUUCAGGAAUUUAUAAUUGCUUCUUCAUACUGGAGUGUAUAUUCAGAGACAAGUAACAUGGACAAACUAUUGCCACAUUCCUCAGUGCUCACUUGGAAUACAGAAAUUCCUGGAAUAACUCUUGUGACAGAAGACAUUGCAUUGCCUCUUAUGAAGGUGCUCAGCUUUAAGGGCUACUGGGAAAAACUGAACUCCAACCUAGAAUAUGUUAAGUACGCCAAGCCACACUUCCACUAUAACAACAGUGUGGUCAGGAGAGAGUGGCACAACCUGAUCUCUGAAGAGAAAACAGGAAAAAGAAGGUCUGCGGCAUACGUGAGGAAUAUUCUUGAUAAUGCAGUAAAGGUGAUUUCUAACCUAGAAGCAAGAAAUUUGGGGCCAAGAUUAACACCCCUCCUGCAGGAGGAAGACAGCCACCAGCGGCUGCUCAUGGGGCUGAUGGUGUCUGAGCUAAAAGACCAUUUUUUGAGACACCUACAGGGUGUAGAAAAGAAGAAAAUUGAACAGAUGGUUCUGGACUACAUUUCAAAACUGCUGGAUCUCAUUUGCCACAUCGUAGAAACCAAUUGGAGGAAACAUAAUCUUCAUUCCUGGGUUCUCCACUUCAAUAGUCGUGGCAGUGCUGCUGAAUUUGCAGUUUUUCACAUCAUGACCAGGAUUCUGGAAGCUACAAACAGUUUGUUUUUACCUCUGCCUCCUGAUAUUCAAGCUUCUUUUGAAAAUAAAUGAAACUGACUUACUGGGGACAUUGUUACGCCUGGAGAUCAUAAAAAUCCACUUUCUACCCAACUCACAUUCCUUCACAGUGAUAAGGAGGGAAAACAAAGAUGUUAUCCAUAGUGAUCGAGAAUUAUUAUAAGUAGACUUAUGGCUUGUGUCUGUGGGUCAGGUUUUCAUACUCUGCACACCAUCCUCGGGGUCCAGUGUCUCCCUUUGCAUAACCUGCUGCAUUGCAUUGACAGUGGAGUGUUGCUUCUCACUGAAACAGCUGUCAUAAGGCUCAUGAAAGAUCUGGAUAAUACAGAGAAAAAUGAAAAACUGAAAUUCAGUAUCAUUGUGCGGCUUCCUCCGCUUAUUGGGCAGAAGAUUUGUAGACUUUGGGAUCAUCCUAUGAGUUCUAACAUCAUUUCGCGGAACCACGUGACGCGACUGCUUCAGAACUAUAAGAAACAGCCUCGGAAUUCUAUGAUUAACAAGUCAUCGUUCAGUGUAGAAUUUCUGCCUCUGAACUACUUCAUUGAAAUUCUGACAGAUAUAGAGUCCUCCAAUCAAGCCCUGUAUCCUUUUGAAGGACAUGACAAUGUGGAUGCAGAAUUUGUAGAGGAAGCAGCUCUGAAACACACCGCGAUGCUUUUAGGCUUAUGAAAAAGAAAACGCAAUUGGAUCUGCUGCUGCCAUUUUAAUCUUGCUCAUUAACCUUACUCCUUUGAGAAUUCUUUAACAAUAUUUAAAAUUGGUAACAAAAAUAGUUUAGCCAUAAUUGUUUAGCCAUGUGAGUUUCAGGUUGGUACACGUUCAGACAGAACUGCUGUAUCACAUUCCAAUUUUGAAUAGCCAGUGAGCAAUCAAGUGUAGAGAAAUGAUAAAUGGCCUAAGAAGGCAUACAGUGGCAUAAACGAUGCUCUUCCUAGUAGCUUAAUAGGCCACAAGCUAGUUUCUGUUGCACUCUGAAAUAAAAUAUGCUUUAAAAAUGUAGGGAACAGUGCUUAGAAAAGCAAAAACUAGGUGUGUCAUUGAAAUAAUAGGCAUAAAAAUUAAAUGUUACAUAAGAACACUAUUUGGAAAGAGGGUCCUUUUAAAAACUGAAUUUGUACUAAAUCAGAUUUGCCAUGUCCAGUACAGAAUAAUUUGUACUUAGUAUUUGCAGCAGGGUUUGUCUUUGUGAAUUCAGAUGAAACAUAUUUAUUUUUUUUUAUUUAUAAAAGGUUGAUUUAGGAAUAUUUUGUCAGUCAUUAAAAAACCUGAAAACAUA